AAAGAUAGAGGUGCGUCUUUUAUCAGUACCCGCCGGGAUCGCGACAGGGCGAGCAGAAGGGCGGGAAAAGGAAACGACGCCGAAGGGACGCCAUUGACCUGUACAAGGCGUUUCUGGGCCUGCUGAGAAGAUCACCAGGACUGUCGCCGGUCGGCGGAGCGCUGUCA
rnacentral:ncRNA from 1 species